rnacentral:rRNA from 1 species
GACAGAGGGUGCAAACGUUGCUCGGAAUUACUGGGCGUAAAGGGCGUGUAGGCGGGAAGGCAAGUCGGGCGUGAAAUCCCCAGGCUCAACCUGGGAACUGCACUCGAAACUGCCUUUCUUGAGUGUCGGAGAGGAAAGCGGAAUUCCUGGUGUAGAGGUGAAAUUCGUAGAUAUCAGGAGGAACACCAGUGGCGAAGGCGGCUUUCUGGACGAUAACUGACGCUGAGACGCGAAAGCGUGGGGAGCAAACAGG